GACGAACGCUGGCGGCGUGCUUAACACAUGCAAGUCGAACGGAAAGGCCCUGCUUGCAGGGUGCUCGAGUGGCGAACGGGUGAGUAACACGUGGGUGAUCUGCCCCUUACUUUGGGAUAAGCCUGGGAAACUGGGUCUAAUACUGGAUAGAACCAUGCUGUAGGUGGUGUGGUGGAAAGAUUAGUUUCGGUAAGGGAUGAGCUCGCGGCCUAUCAGCUUGUUGGUGGGGUAAUGGCCUACCAAGGCGUCGACGGGUAGCCGGCCUGAGAGGGUGGACGGCCACAUUGGGACUGAGAUACGGCCCAGACUCCUACGGGAGGCAGCAGCGGGGAAUAUUGCACAAUGGGCGCAAGCCUGAUGCAGCGACGCCGCGUGGGGGAUGACGGCCUUCGGGUUGUAAACUCCUUUCAGCCAUGACGAAGCCCUUGUGGUGACGGUAGUGGUAGAAGAAGCACCGGCUAACUACGUGCCAGCAGCCGCGGUAAUACGUAGGGUGCGAGCGUUGUCCGGAAUUACUGGGCGUAAAGAGCUCGUAGGUGGUCUGUCGCGUCAUUUGUGAAAGCCCGGGGCUUAACUCCGGGUUGGCAGGUGAUACGGGCAUGACUGGAGUACUGUAGGGGAGACUGGAAUUCCUGGUGUAGCGGUGAAAUGCGCAGAUAUCAGGAGGAACACCGGUGGCGAAGGCGGGUCUCUGGGCAGUAACUGACGCUGAGGAGCGAAAGCAUGGGUAGCGAACAGG
rnacentral:rRNA from 1 species